rnacentral:rRNA from 1 species
AUUGAACGCUGGCGGUAGGCCUAACACAUGCAAGUCGAGCGGAAGCACGGUAAUAGCUUGCGGAUACAGGUGGCGACGGGCGAAUAAUGGCUAGGAACCUGGCUGGCUGCUGGGGCUUACGUGAGGACGUGGGGGAACAUACCGUAAUAGUGCAGAGGGCGUACGGGUGGGAUCAUGGGAUCUUACGCCCUUGCGCGAGUCAAGGUCGGAUUAGCUAGUUGGCGGGGUAAAGGCCUACCAAGGCGACGAUCCGUAACUGGUCUGAGAGGAUGAUCAGUCACACUGGAACUGAGACACGGUCCAGACUCCUACGGGAGGCAGCAGUGGGGAAUAUUGGACAAUGGGCGAAAGCCUGAUCCAGCCAUGCCGCGUGUGUGAAGAAGGUCUUCGGAUUGUAAAGCACUUUAAGUUGGGAGGAAGAGCAGUAAGUUAAUACCUUGCUGUUUUGACGGUACCAACAGAAUAAGCACCGGCUAACUUCGUG